GGGCCCGCACAAGCGGUGGAUCAUGUGGUUUAAUUCGAAGCAACGCGCAGAACCUUACCUGGGUUUGACAUCCCACGACGAAUGCAGAGAUGUAUUUUUUGUAGCAAUACAACGUGGAGACAGGUGCUGCAUGGCUGUCGUCAGCUCGUGUUGUGAAAUGUUGGGUUAAGUCCCGCAACGAGCGCAACCCCUGCCUUUGGUUGCCAUCAUUAAGUUGGGCACUCCAGAGGGACUGCCGUGGUUAACACGGAGGAAGGUGGGGAUGACGUCAAGUCCUCAUGGCCCUUAUAUCCAGGGCGACACACGUGAUACAAUGGUCGGUACAGAGGGUAGCGAAGUAGUGAUACGGAGCCAAUCUCAAAAAGCCGGCCUCAGUUCGGAUUGGAGUCUGCAAUUCGACUCCAUGAAGUUGGAAUCGCUAGUAAUCGCGGAUCAGAACGCCGCGGUGAAUACGUUCCCGGGCCUU
rnacentral:rRNA from 1 species